AAACACAAGGGAGUCGGUGAAAGUGAAAGCAGAUCACAGGAGAAAACGACAGAAUGGCUGCUAGCGUAUCACAGUCUGUAGAGGAAUGCCUCUUCUCUGUGCUACGAUACGUUUCUGAAUCCUGUUAUCUUGUUGUGCGGUCACAGCUUCUGUAAGGGCUGUCUUCAGGAGUGGUGGAGACAGAGUACACUACAGACGUGACCUGUCUGUAAGAAUGUUUUUCAUAUGGUUGUACCUCCAUGUAAUCUGGCACUGAGAAACUUGUCUGACAACCUGAGACAAGUGAGGACCCAGAGAGUGGUGUCAAGAUCUGAGGAGUUUUGCAGCCUUCAGUGAGAAAUUUAAGCUCUUCUGUCAGGAUGACCAGCAGCUCAUCCGUGUGAUCUGUAGGGAUUCAAAAAAAUAAAAAGCACAACUGCACCCCCAUCAAUGAAGCAGCUGAAGACUAUAAGAUCUCACUGUAAUCUGUCAGAACCUAAGACUCCACCAGGAGCCCUGGUCGAUGAGGCCGAGCAUCUAGGGAACCUGCUGUUCACAGUCUGGAAGAAGAUGAAGAAUAUAAUCCAAUACAUUAGGCUCUGUCACUCUGGAUCCCAACAACGCUGGCUGUGGAUUAAUCUUAUCAAACCGUUUAACUUGUUCAAUGCUUAGUGAGAAGGUUCUGCAGCUCCUUAACAACCUAGAGAGAAGAAGUGACCUUACUGUUGUUGGCUUAAGCUCUGGAAAACAUAUCUGGGAUGUGGAGGUAGAUGGUUCCUGGGUGGUUGGUGUGUCUGCUAGAAUCAAACACAAAACCUCGCCAAUGAUUUGGGGCAUUUACCUGUAUGAUCCUGAUGGAUCAGUGGCUGAACUUCCUUCAGAAGUAGCCAUAAAUUCAAAAGGUUUAGUAUUCAAAAAGCUCAGAGCGCACCUGGAUUAUGACCAAGGACUACUGUCGUUUUUUUGGCCUUGACAGGAAAACGCCUGUACACACCAUCAGGCACACUUUCUGACUGAAUACUCACAGUGGUGCAGUGAUUAGGAGCUCAGUCUGCAACAUCACUUUGUGCAUCCACCAUCCAUCCCAACUACCACCUGGCAACUCUAAUGCAGUUCAUGAGUGUAACACUUCAGUCAUUCAAAAAACGUGACCUCUGAACAUAAUCUAGUCAAAAAUAUACUUUUACCACCACAGCAUGUUGGGAAAAUAGUUUCCUCUCAGUAACUGGGGUUCUUUUUUAACAUACUGUAAUUAAAUGUAUGCUUUUGGUUGA